rnacentral:rRNA from 1 species
UGAGGAAUUUUCCGCAAUGGGCGAAAGCCUGACGGAGCAAUGCCGCGUGAAGGAAGACGCCUUUCGGGGUGUAAACUUCUUUUAUCAGGGAAGAAGACAUGACGGUACCUGAUGAAUAAGGAUCGGCUAACUACGUGCCAGCAGCCGCGGUAAUACGUAGGAUCCAAGCGUUAUCCGGAAUCAUUGGGCGUAAAGCGUGUGUAGGCGUCCAUAUAAGUUUCUCGUUAAAGCCCGGGGCUCAACUCCGGAAUCGUGAGGAAUACUGUAUGGAUGGAGAUACGGAGAGGCAGACGGAAUUCCUAGUGUAGCAGUGAAAUGCGUAGAUAUUAGGAAGAACACCAAUGGCGAAGGCAGUCUGCUGGCCGUCAUCUGACGCUGAGACACGAAAGCGUGGGGAGCGAACGGGAUUAGAUACCCCCGUAGUCC